GACGAACGCUGGCGGCGUGCUUAACACAUGCAAGUCGAACGGAAAGGCCCUGCUUUUGUGGGGUGCUCGAGUGGCGAACGGGUGAGUAACACGUGAGUAACCUGCCCUUGACUUUGGGAUAACUUCAGGAAACUGGGGCUAAUACCGGAUAGGAGCUCCUGCUGCAUGGUGGGGGUUGGAAAGUUUCGGCGGUUGGGGAUGGACUCGCGGCUUAUCAGCUUGUUGGUGGGGUAGUGGCUUACCAAGGCUUUGACGGGUAGCCGGCCUGAGAGGGUGACCGGCCACAUUGGGACUGCGAUACGGCCCAGACUCCUACGUGAGGCAGCCGUGGGGAAUAUUGCACAAUGGGCGGAAGCCUGAUGCAGCAACGCCGCGUGCGGGAUGACGGCCUUCGGGUUGUAAACCGCUUUCGCCUGUGACGAAGCGUGAGUGACGGUAAUGGGUCCAGAAGCACCGGCUAACUACGUG
rnacentral:rRNA from 1 species